rnacentral:lncRNA from 1 species
GGACCCCCCAUCGCACGGGGGAGAGGGACCCCCCGCGAGGCAGGGACGGAGAGCCUGCCGCUCUUCCCCCCGUGGCUCAUAGGACCCCCAUCGCAGGCGCUUGGCACCCCACGCGAGGCGGGUACUGAGAGCCAGCUCCUCUUCACCCCGGGUCUCUUAGGACUGCCAUCGCAGGGGGGUAGAGGUACCCCAUGCAAGGCGGGGACUGAGAGUCAGCCCCUCUUCACCUCUCGCUCUUAGGCCCCCAUCGCGGGGGGGGAGGCACCCCAUGCGAGGCGGGGAUUGAGAGCCAGCCCCACUUCCCCCCUGACUCUUGGGACCACCAUCGCAGUGGGGGCAGGUACACACCGCGAGGCGGGGACUGACAGCCAGCAACUCUUCUGCCCCGGGCUCUUGGGACCCCCAUCGCAGGGGCGGGAGGCACCCCAUGCGAGGCGGGGACUGAGAGCCAGCCCCACUUCCCCCCUGGCUCUUGGGACCACCAUCGCAGUGGGGGGAGGUACACACCACGAGGCGGGGACGGAGAGUCAGCCCCUCUUCCCCCACUGGCUUUUGGGACACCCAUCCCGGGGGGGAGGCACCCCCCGUGAGGCACGGACUGAGAGCCAGCCCCUCUUCCCCCACUGGCUAAGACCCCCAUUGCGGAUCCUAAGAUCCUUAGGACCCACCUGGAGGACUGUGGGUAUUAGGUGUCCAAGAAGAAAGCUCAGAUCUGCCGACGGCAGGUACCUUACUUGGGAUUUUCUAUACGACAGGGGUCCGAACGCAGCCCGGGAUCAGAAAGAAAGCAGGUCGUUUGCAAUCUACCGGAGCCUAAGGGCAGAAGGCAGGACCGUGGGAACAAUAUGCCAGGGGGAUUUCCACUUUCUGCCAUAUAUGUAGUCACAUCACCCACUCUGCUUUGGAAUAUUAUUAAGGACCAUCUAACACGAGGGUGUAUACGUCCUGCAAUACUACGAGUAAUAUCAACUUCUUGGCCUCUGAAUAUGAGGAAGAAUAUCACAGG